CAUCAGACGUAAUCUGCCGCAAAAAUGUUGCGGAAACGCAUUAUUGGAUACCUUGUGCGAAACGCCAAGCUAAUACAUGAACUCGGGGGCUCAUCCCGUUCCACACGCAUGCGGUUCGCCGUAGGCGUGGUGGGUGGCCCUGCGGAUGAAUGAAAGUACAAACCAAUGCCCCGCAAGGGGCAGUAUCACGGAGAAGUGCUGAAUCAAUUCAUCUUUGCGAAAGCCGGCUUGCCGGCGUAUUUUGACGAACAACUGCCCUAUCAGCCAUGAUGGCCGUGUAGUGGACUGCCAUGGCGUUGACGGGAGCGGGGGAUUAGGGUUCGAUUCCGGAGAGGGAGCCUGAGAAAUGGCUACCACUUCUACGGAGGGCAGCAGGCGCGCAAAUUGCCCAAUGCCAAAACAAAUGAUGAGGCAGCGAAAAGAAAUAGGUGCCCCAAACGCCUAGUGUGUUUGGGGCUUUCAAUGGGGGAUAUUUAAAACCAUCCAACAUCGAGUAACAAUUGGAGGACAAGUCUGGUGCCAGCACCCGCGGUAAUUCCAGCUCCAAGAGCGUAUACUAACGCUGUUGCUGUUAAAGGGUUCGUAGUUGAACUGUGGACCGCGACGCCGGG
rnacentral:rRNA from 1 species